UACAGAGGUCCCAAGCGUUGUUCGGAUUCACUGGGCGUAAAGGGUGCGUAGGCGGUUGGGUAAGUCUGACGUGACAUCUCCGGGCCUAACCCGGAAACUGCGUCGGAUACUAUCCGGCUAGAGGAUUGGAAGGGAGACUGGAAUACUUGGUGUAGCAGUGAAAUGCGUAGAUAUCAAGUGGAACACCAGUGGCGAAGGCGAGUCUCUGGACAAUUCCUGACGCUGAGAUACGAAAGCGUGGGGAGCAAACAGG
rnacentral:rRNA from 1 species